rnacentral:rRNA from 2 species
CUAAUACAUGCAAGUCGAACGAACUCUGGUAUUGAUUGGUGCUUGCAUCAUGAUUUACAUUUGAGUGAGUGGCGAACUGGUGAGUAACACGUGGGAAACCUGCCCAGAAGCGGGGGAUAACACCUGGAAACAGAUGCUAAUACCGCAUAACAACUUGGACCGCAUGGUCCGAGCUUGAAAGAUGGCUUCGGCUAUCACUUUUGGAUGGUCCCGCGGCGUAUUAGCUAGAUGGUGGGGUAACGGCUCACCAUGGCAAUGAUACGUAGCCGACCUGAGAGGGUAAUCGGCCACAUUGGGACUGAGACACGGCCCAAACUCCUACGGGAGGCAGCAGUAGGGAAUCUUCCACAAUGGACGAAAGUCUGAUGGAGCAACGCCGCGUGAGUGAAGAAGGGUUUCGGCUCGUAAAACUCUGUUGUUAAAGAAGAACAUAUCUGAGAGUAACUGUUCAGGUAUUGACGGUAUUUAACCAGAAAGCCACGGCUAACUACGUGCCAGCAGCCGCGGUAAUACGUAGGUGGCAAGCGUUGUCCGGAUUUAUUGGGCGUAAAGCGAGCGCAGGCGGUUUUUUAAGUCUGAUGUGAAAGCCUUCGGCUCAACCGAAGAAGUGCAUCGGAAACUGGGAAACUUGAGUGCAGAAGAGGACAGUGGAACUCCAUGUGUAGCGGUGAAAUGCGUAGAUAUAUGGAAGAACACCAGUGGCGAAGGCGGCUGUCUGGUCUGUAACUGACGCUGAGGCUCGAAAGUAUGGGUAGCAAACAGGAUUAGAUACCCUGGUAGUCCAUACCGUAAACGAUGAAUGCUAAGUGUUGGAGGGUUUCCGCCCUUCAGUGCUGCAGCUAACGCAUUAAGCAUUCCGCCUGGGGAGUACGGCCGCAAGGCUGAAACUCAAAGGAAUUGACGGGGGCCCGCACAAGCGGUGGAGCAUGUGGUUUAAUUCGAAGCUACGCGAAGAACCUUACCAGGUCUUGACAUACUAUGCAAAUCUAAGAGAUUAGAC